UUCCAUCUCCUCACAGGAAAUUGGUAUUGUCAGCUUUUUGGAUUGUAGCCAUUCUAAUAGGUGUGUAGUGGUGUCUCGUUGUUUUAAUUUGCAUUUCCCUGAUGA